rnacentral:rRNA from 1 species
GACGAACGCUGGCGGCGUGCCUAAUACAUGCAAGUUGAGCGCUGAAGGUUGGUACUUGUACCGACUGGAUGAGCAGCGAACGGGUGAGUAACGCGUGGGGAAUCUGCCUUUGAGCGGGGACAACAUUUGGAAACGAAUGCUAAUACCACAUAAAAACUUUAAACACAAGUUUUAAGUUUGAAAGAUGCAAUUGCAUCACUCAAAGAUGAUCCCGCGUUGUAUUAGCUAGUUGGUGAGGUAAAGGCUCACCAAGGCGAUGAUACAUAGCCGACCUGAGAGGGUGAUCGGCCACAUUGGGACUGAGACACGGCCCAAACUCCUACGGGAGGCAGCAGUAGGGAAUCUUCGGCAAUGGACGAAAGUCUGGCCGAGCAACGCCGCGUGAGUGAAGAAGGUUUUCGGAUCGUAAAACUCUGUUGGUAGAGAAGAACGUUGGUGAGAGUGGAAAGCUCAUCAAGUGACGGUAACUACCCAGAAAGGGACGGCUAACUACGUGCCAGCCGCCGCGGUAA